rnacentral:piRNA from 1 species
UAGUGAUGGACUACAAUGUGGAC